AGUGAACGCUGGCGGUAGGCCUAACACAUGCAAGUCGAACGGCAGCACAGUAAGAGCUUGCUCUUACGGGUGGCGAGUGGCGGACGGGUGAGGAAUACAUCGGAAUCUACUUUUUCGUGGGGGAUAACGUAGGGAAACUUACGCUAAUACCGCAUACGACCUACGGGUGAAAGCAGGGGAUCUUCGGACCUUGCGCGAUUGAAUGAGCCGAUGUCGGAUUAGCUAGUUGGCGGGGUAAAGGCCCACCAAGGCGACGAUCCGUAGCUGGUCUGAGAGGAUGAUCAGCAACACUGGAACUGAGACACGGUCCAGACUCCUACGGGAGGCAGCAGUGGGGAAUAUUGGACAAUGGGCGCAAGCAUGAUCCAGCCAGACCGCGUGGGUGAAGAAGGCCUUCGGGUUGUAAAGCCCUUUUGUUGGGAAAGAAAAGCAGCAGGUUAAUACCCCGCUGUUCUGACGGUACCCAAAGAAUAAGCACCGGCUAACUUCGUG
rnacentral:rRNA from 1 species